rnacentral:lncRNA from 1 species
CCAAAGUAGAACUUACCUUAGAAGUGGAGUUUUGAGCAUUCUUAGAGUCAGAAGAACCAGGAACUUCCCCCCCACUCCCAUAUUUGAAAGAAUCGUCUGAGCUCUCAGAAUCUUGGGCUUGGGCACCCUUCCUUGUGCGUUUUAUCUCUUCAACAGUGCACCUGAGGCUACAGUUAUUUGGGCUAGCAUUUUGACAUGUCUUUUCUCAAGUUGGGGGUUUGUAUUGGGUGGAGAAGGUGUGGAUGAGCUAGAAGGGGAUGGUGGUAGAGGAGUCCCUAGAUUAUCUUGAGGGUUCAACAUUAUAACUGAUGGCUUGAGAGAUUUUGUGAGUUAG